GACCACAACGUUGAUAGGUGGGGUGUGUAAGCGUAGCGAUACGUUGAGCUAACCCAUACUAAUUACCCGUGAGGCUUAACCAU
rnacentral:rRNA from 1 species